rnacentral:rRNA from 1 species
GUGGGGAAUCUUGCGCAAUGGGGGAAACCCUGACGCAGCAACGCCGCGUGGGUGAUGAAGGUCUUCGGAUCGUAAAGCCCUGUCGGAGGGAACGAUGGCCUCGUUGGCUAAUAUCCAACGGGGUUGACGGUACCCUCAAAGGAAGCACCGGCUAACUCUGUGCCAGCAGCCGCGGUAAGACAGAGGGUGCAAGCGUUGUUCGGAAUUAUUGGGCGUAAAGCGCGCGUAGGCGGCUGACUAAGUCGGGUGUGAAAGCCCAGGGCUCAACCCUGGAAGUGCAUUCGAUACUGGUCGGCUUGAGUGUUGGAGAGGGUGGUGGAAUUCCUGGUGUAGAGGUGAAAUUCGUAGAUAUCAGGAGGAACACCGGUGGCGAAGGCGACCACCUGGACAACUACUGACGCUGAGGUGCGAAAGCGUGGGGAGCAAACAGGAUUAGAAACCCUGGUAGUCC